rnacentral:rRNA from 1 species
UGGGGAAUAUUGGACAAUGGGGGCAACCCUGAUCCAGCAAUUCUGUGUGCACGAAGAAGGUUUUCGGAUCGUAAAGUGCUUUCAGCAGGGAGGAAGGAAGUGACUGUACCUGCAGAAGAAGCGACGGCUAAAUACGUGCCAGCAGCCGCGGUAAUACGUAUGUCGCGAGCGUUAUCCGGAAUUAUUGGGCAUAAAGGGCAUCUAGGCGGCCGGGUAAGUCCGGGGUGAAAACUGCUGGCUCAACCAGCAGCCUGCCUUGGAAACUACCCGGCUUGAGUGCUGGAGAGGUGGACGGAACUGCACGAGUAGAGGUGAAAUUCGUAGAUAUGUGCAGGAAUGCCGAUGAUGAAGAUAGUUCACUGGACGGCAACUGACGCUGAAGUGCGAAAGCUAGGGGAGCGAACAGGAUUAGAUACCCUGGUAGUCCUAGCUGUAAACGAUGAUUACUGGGUGUGGGCAUGAAGAGUGUCCGUGCCGAAGCUAAUGCGAUAAGUAAUCCGCCUGGGGAGUAACGGCCGCAAGGCUG